AUUGAACGCUCGCGGCAUGCUUUACACAUGCAAGUCGGACGGCAGCACAGAGAAGCUUGCUUCUUGGGUGGCGAGUGGCGAACGGGUGAGUAUCAUAUCGGAACGUACCGAGCAGUGGGGGAUAACUAAUCGAAAGAUUAGCUAAUACCGCAUAUAUUCUGAGGAAGAAAGCAGGGGACCAUUUGGCCUUGCGCUGUUUGAGCGGCCGAUAUCUGAUUAGCUAGUUGGUGGGGUAAAGGCCUACCAAGGCGACGAUCAGUAGCGGGUCUGAGAGGAUGAUCCGCCACACUGGGACUGAGACACGGCCCCUACUCCUACGGGAGGCAGCAGUGGGGAAUUUUGGACAAUGGGCGCAAGCCUGAUCCAGCCAUGCCGCGUGUCUGAAGAAGGGCUUCGGGUUGUAAAGGACUUUUGUCAGGGAAGAAAAGGAUAGGGUUAAUACCCCUGUCUGAUGACGGCACCUGAAGAA
rnacentral:rRNA from 1 species